rnacentral:rRNA from 1 species
UACGUAGGGACCAAGCGUUGUUCGGAUUUACUGGGCGUAAAGGGCGCGUAGGCGGCAAUUCAAGUCAUCUGUGAAAUCUCCGGGCUUAACUCCGAAACUGCAUUUGAUACUGCCUUGCUUGAGGACUGGAGAGGAGACUGGAAUUUACGGUGUAGCAGUGAAAUGCGUAGAUAUCGUAAGGAAGACCAGUGGCGAAGGCGGGUCUCUGGACAGUUCCUGACACUGAGGCACGAAGGCUAGGGGAGCAAACGGG